AGCAGCCGCGGUAAUUCCAGCUCCAAUAGCGUAUAUUAAAGUUGCUGCAGUUAAAAAGCUCGUAGUUGAAUUUCGGGACCAUCAUGUCGGUCGUGCCUCGGUACGUACUGGCAUUGUUGGUUUCUCCCUUCUGACGAACCAUGAUGCCAUUUAUUUGGUGUUGUGGGGAAUCAGGACUGUUACUUUGAAAAAAUUAGAGUGUUUAAAGCAGGCUCACGCUUGAAUACAUUAGCAUGGAAUAAUGAAAUAGGACGUUUGAUUCUAUUUUGUUGGUUUCUAGGAUCGACGUAAUGAUUAAUAGGGAUAGUUGGGGGCAUUAGUAUUCAAUUGUCAGAGGUGAAAUUCUUGGAUUUAUUGAAGACUAACUACUGCGAAAGCAUUUGCCAAGGAUGUUUUCAUUAAUCAAGAACGAAAGUUAGGGGAUCGAAGACGAUCAGAUACCGUCGUAGUCUUAACCAUAAACUAUGCC
rnacentral:rRNA from 1 species